CCUACGGGAGGCUUCAGUGAGGAAUAUUGGUCAAUGGACGCAAGUCUGAACCAGCCAUGCCGCGUGCAGGAUGACGGCUCUAUGAGUUGUAAACUGCUUUUGUACGAGGGUUAACCCCGAUACGUGUAUCGGGUUGAAAGUAUCGUACGAAUAAGGAUCGGCUAACUCCGUGCCAGCAGCCGCGGUAAUACGGAGGAUCCGAGCGUUAUCCGGAUUUAUUGGGGUUAAGGGGUGCGUAGGCGGUUUGAUAAGUCAGAGGUGAAAUCUCAGGGCUCAACCCCGGAACUGCAUUUAAUACUGUUGGACUAGAGAAUGGUUGCGGUAGGCGGAAUUUAUGGUGUAGCGGUGAAAUGCGUAGAGAUCAUACAGAAUACCGAUUGCGAAGGCGACUUACCAAACCAUAUCUGACGUUGAGGCACGAAAGCGUGGGUAGCAAACAGGAUUAGAUACCCUUGUAGUC
rnacentral:rRNA from 1 species